rnacentral:rRNA from 1 species
UACGGGGGGGGCAAGCGUUGCUCGGAAUUACUGGGCGUAAAGGGCUCGUAGGCGGCCAACUAAGUCGGACGUGAAAUCCCUCGGCUUAACCGGGGAACUGCGUCCGAUACUGGAUGGCUUGAGUUUGGGAGAGGGAUGCGGAAUUCCAGGUGUAGCGGUGAAAUGCGUAGAUAUCUGGAAGAACACCGGUGGCGAAGGCGGCAUCCUGGACCAAUUCUGACGCUGAGGAGCGAAAGCCAGGGGAGCAAACGGG